rnacentral:piRNA from 1 species
UCUGAUGAAUGUAAUUUUUCA